UGACACAGUUCGUCCGCUUUCUCCAGGAUGAGAGUGAGCCCUCCGUCUCCUCCACGCCGCAGGAAAUCCCAUAUCACGCCUGGUUAUGUGCCAUAAAUCAUAAAGCCUGCUUUCAAUUAUGAAGUACAACUGCAACUCCGUUGGGGCAAGCUGUAGGAGCUAAUUGUACCCUGCAAGGAUCAUUACGGUUAUGAUUUGCACCUGCAUAAAUACUGGCACUUUUGAAAGUUUUGAAGGAACAGACUGCAAAAGUCUAGCUGCUCUUGCCGGAAAGGAAGUUUCUGCAGCUAUCAAACAUUGACAGGUAGCUAACACAUUACUGUUAAGAAAUUAAGUACUGUAAAAACAAUAAAGAAUCA